rnacentral:rRNA from 1 species
UAAUACAUGCAAGUCGAAACGGUCUUUUUCUAUGGAAGACUUGCUUCCACUCGGAGAAGAUAGUGGCGGACGGGUGAGUAACACGUGGGUAACCUGCCCAUAAGAGGGGGAUAACAUCCGGAAACGGGUGCUAAUACCGCAUAGUUUUCUUGAUCGCAUGAUUGAGAAAGGAAAGACGGCCUUUGUGCUGUCGCUUAUGGAUGGACCCGCGGCGUAUUAGUUAGUUGGUGAGGUAAUGGCUCACCAAGACGAUGAUACGUAGCCGACCUGAGAGGGUGAUCGGCCACAUUGGGACUGAGACACGGCCCAAACUCCUACGGGAGGCAGCAGUAGGGAAUCUUCCGCAAUGGACGAAAGUCUGACGGAGCAACGCCGCGUGAGUGAAGAAGGUUUUCGGAUCGUAAAACUCUGCUGUCAGAGAAGAACAAGUUGGAGAGUAACUGCUCCAGCCUUGACGGUAUCUGACCAGAAAGCCACGGCUAACUACGUG